rnacentral:lncRNA from 1 species
GUGCAUUUCCAGGGGGGAAAGAAGGGGCUUAGUGAAGGAGAAUUUCCACCAUGGUUUCUCUUCCCUUGCCUGAGAACCCUCUGCCGCAUGAUGUGGAAUCCUUUUGUAAGGACCAGGAAGCGGAAGUGAGGUACUUACUCCAGGAGCAGCUCUAGUCCAGCCACCACAUGUCUGGGCUUUGGUCAAGUCCUUACUACUCAAAGUAUAGGCUGUGGCAUGGACCUGGGGCUUGCUAGAAAUGUGACAUUUCAGCUCCACUGACACCUGCUGGGUCAAAGCCUGCAUUUUAAUUGAAGUUUCAGAGCUCUGUAGGAAGUGACACAGUACUGGAUGCUGGGAAUAUAAACUGUUUGGCUCUGUCUUCCUGGAGCUGCAAUCUGAAGUGGGGAAAUCCUGAUGAAUUCACUGAGAACUCGUUCCACAGCGAGAGCAGUAUAGAGCACAGAGUGAGGAGAAACAGCUGUCUGGCAGGGCCGUGGAGCCUGAAUCAGGAGAAUCCUUCGAUCCUCCACUAAGGAACCAGAAUCAGGGCUCUGAGAAAUCACGAGCCCGAGCUUACAGCAGAAUGAAGACUGCUUUUAUUCUCUUGUUCCUGUUGAAAAAUAACAACUCUGCCACCCACCCUUGUCUCCUAUUGCAAGAAGACCUCCAGAGUAAUUAAAUUCAACAGUUGAAAUGAUGUCAGCUUCCGCCACAUCCUCAUUGACUGCACCCUUCACCUGUGAGAAGCACCACUGGAAGUCUUGGCUGCCCUUUGGGCAGCCGCAGCCUCGGGCUCCUGACUUGGCAGCAGCGUGGGACAGGGCCUGCCCAGCCGAGCGCUCCCGACCCGAGGCGCCCCACUGAGUGCUCAGCUCUGGCUGCCAUCGCAGCCCAUUGCUUUUUUUUUUUUGCUGUACUGGGGUCAAACUCAAGACUUUGUGCUUGCCAGGCAGGCACAGCGCUGCUGAGAUUCAACCUGCUCUUGGAUCUUUAACAUACUGUGGCACUAGAAAUCAAGAAGUUACCAUUAACUGCAUGGUCACCUGACUUGUAGGAGGUCAAGGAAAUAAAGAUGUGAACAGACAAAAAACCCCAAGGUAUCCGAAGGAGCCCUCCAGGAAAUGGGAAGCAGACUUGGUGCUAGGUGCCCAGCAAUGUCCCCUGGAGCGUUUGUUCAGCACAGGGGGAGGCGGAGGGAGGAAAGAGCCCUUGGCUCACUUAGCUAAUUGCAAGCAGAAGGAAGAGAAAAAUAACAUGAUUAGCAUGUUUCUCUCCUUCCCUUGAUGACGAUGACAGAGCAGGCAAUCUUCUGUUUGUGCAGAGGGGCUCAGAGAGGGAGUGCUGAGAGCAUCUGUUCUGAGAAACUGCUGUUCAAAAUGGAAGGAAAUACACAAAGCCAAGAGGAACCUCCGUUGUGAGAAGAGCUGAGAGAUGAAGAACAAUGCCUGUAGGACUCUUAGAAAAGCCAUCUCCAUGAGCCACUGCCUCCUUCUCAGCACCAGUAUUCUGGAAAGAGCACACCUCAUAAAGUCCUCCUGAAGGGCAGAGAUGCUGGGGAAUUUAUCCACCAACUCUUUCCCCUGUGGGCUCAGAGGAGCUCCUGAACAUGGACAUCAGCUUCCUGUCACUGGAACAGAGCCUUCUAAAAGAAAUGGUUCAUUUUGGCUCAUGAUUUGGGAGGUUAUGCUCAUCACACAUUUGGGCCUGAGAGGAGGUAGAACAUUGCACUGAGAGUGCAUGGUAAAGCAAAGCUGCUCACCUCAGGGCCAGGAAGUGAAAAAGAGGGGGUGGGGUUACACAGUCCUCUCUGGGACUCUAAGCAACGUAAGGACCUGGGACUUGGCCCGACCUGGAGUUCCCACUGUCUCCCAGUGUGCCAGCCAGGGACCAAGCCUUUAACACAUGGGGCACUUUGGAGGACACUCAAUAUCUGAACUACAGUGAUGAGACAAGCCUGCCCUGUCCAGAGAACACCCUCAGGCAGGGCAAGGACAGAGGCUUUUGGCUGUGGGCAACCUGCCUGUUGGGACCACAGGAUGAAGGGAUGUUGUAAGGCAUAGGCAGCUCUGCUGCAGGGACUGUGCCUUCCCCUUUUGGCAUCCUCAGUACUGAGACCACAUCUGGAAGUUCAUGAACACUCAGCAAAUGUUCAAUGAACACAGGAAUGGGUGAGGAAUGCAUGCACAGAAAGCUUAUUUUUUUCAAUUGUUAUUGUUUUGUUAGUACACGUUUGCAGUACAUAAUAAUUACUUUCCUUGUGGAGCGUUGCUACAUCUCAAGGUGUGCGUGACACAUCUCAAUUCUUUUUUCAUCCCCUUAUCCUCCUCCUCCUCACUCCUUCCAUCUCAUGCUCCCCCUCCUUAUUUGCAAAAGAUCUAUCUCCCUAUUUCCUACUAUCUAUCUUUUAUUUUGCACUUUACUUAUAUUUCAAGUUUCACAUGUAAGAGAAACUGUAUGAUAUUUAAGCUUGUGUAUCUGGUUCACCUCAAUCAACAUUAUGGUCUCAAGAUGUAUCCGUUUUGGGCUGUUGUACCACCCCCACCAGGACAGAGGAGGUGAGCUGCACAGGCACCAGCAGCAACAUCCCUCUCCCCCUGCCCCCCCCCCCGUCUAAAUGAGAGACAUGUAAAGAAGUCUCAAAAACAGACUUCCAGAUCACCUACAGCAACCCCAAAGGGAAACAAAAUGGAACACUCUGAUACUCAACCUGGACUCCCUGAACUGGCAACAAAAGAGGAUCUGUAAAAAAUUACAUUAGAAAUAAUUUCUCAGAUAACAGCAGAGAUUGUGCUCAUAGUGCAACACAUGAUUAAUAAAUCUAGAGAG